rnacentral:rRNA from 1 species
GACGAACGCUGGCGGCGUGCUUAACACAUGCCAGUCGAACGGAAAGGCCUGCAGCUUGCUGCGGGUACUCGAGUGGCGAACGGGUGAGUAACACGUGGGUGAUCUGCCUUGCACUUCGGGAUAAGCUUGGGAAACUGGGUUUAAUACCGGAUAGGACAGCUGUUUAGUGUCAGUUGUGGAAAGUUUUUUCGGUGCAAGAUGAGCUCGCGGCCUAUCAGCUUGUUGGUGGGGUAAUGGCCUACCAAGGCGUCGACGGGUAGCCGGCCUGAGAGGGUGUACGGCCACAUUGGGACUGAGAUACGGCCCAGACUCCUACGGGAGGCAGCAGUGGGGAAUAUUGCACAAUGGGCGGAAGCCUGAUGCAGCGACGCCGCGUGGGGGAUGAAGGCCUUCGGGUUGUAAACUCCUUUCGACAGGGACGAAGCUUUUGUGACGGUACCUGUAUAAGAAGCACCGGCUAACUACGUG